GGAACCUUACCUGGGCUAGAAUGUAUUUUGCCACCUUGAGAAAUUGAGGGUUCCUUCGGGACGGAAUACAAGGUGCUGCAUGGCUGUCGUCAGCUCGUGCCGUGAGGUGUUGGGUUAAGUCCUAUAACGAGCGAAACCCUUUUACUUAAUUGCCAGCACGUAAUGGUGGGGACUUUAAGUAGACUGCCCGUGUAAGCGGGAGGAAGGAGAGGAUGAGGUCAAGUCAUCAUGGCCUUUAUGCCCAGGGCUACACACGUACUACAAUGGCAUGUACAAAGGGAAGCUACUUGGUAAUAAGAUGCAAAUCUUAAAAGCAUGUCUCAGUUCGGAUUGAGGUCUGCAAUUCGACCUCAUGAAGUUGGAAUCGCUAGUAAUCGUSGWAUCAGCAAUGACGCGGUGAAUACGUUCUCGGACCUUGUACACACCGCCCAUCAAGCCAUGGGAGUUGGUAGAGCUUGAAGACAGUGGCAAUAUUUA
rnacentral:rRNA from 1 species